ACUAUGAUAUUUACCAUUCUUCUAAAAAGUAAAAACUUAGAUGGUGGGAUUCAGCUAUAGGAGUAAUAUGAUAUUACUCUUCUGGUACUAAGUAAAGACAUGCGCAGAAUAUAAUUUCUUUCUGCACUUUAAAACUAUCAGAAGAAUUUGUAUGGUAUUUUAAUUGGUUUACUUUUAAAAUAUCGUAUAAUCUGGUACUUUUGUAAUUUUC
rnacentral:lncRNA from 1 species